AACGAACGCUGGCGGCAGGCCUAACACAUGCAAGUCGAACGCUCCGCAAGGGGAGUGGCGCACGGGUGAGUAACACGUGGGAACCUACCUUCUGGUACGGAACAACCAAGGGAAACUUUGGCUAAGACCGUAUACGACCUCCGGGUGAAAGAUUGAUCGCCGGAAGAGGGGCCCGCGUCCGAUUAGGUAGUUGGUGAGGUAACGGUUCACCAAGCCUUCGAUCGGUAGCUGGUCUGAGAGGAUGACCAGCCACACUGGGACUGAGACACGGCCCAGACUCCUACGGGAGGCAGCAGUGGGGAAUAUUGGACAAUGGGCGCAAGCCUGAUCCAGCCAUGCCGCGUGAGUGAUGAAGGCCUUCGGUUGUAAGUA
rnacentral:rRNA from 1 species